UUUGAGCCAGUGGGAUUUGAGGACUCAGUAAAGAUAAUUCUAGCCCUAUUUGACCUAUCUGGUGUCCUGUUCUCAGUGAAGUACAAAGCUGCAAAGCCUCCAUCUGUGCAGAGAGAUGAGAAUGUGUAUUAGCACAGGGUGGGGUGGAAAAAAAAUUGGGUUUAGAAAGUUCAGGAUGGGCAUGUCCAGGGGAAAAUGAAGAGGCUUAUCAAUUGGCUUUAUAUGAAUUAACCAGUGGGACUCCUACCAGUCCUGCAGGAAUGUCCCCGAAGAUUCGAGGAAGCACUUUCCCAGCUUCCAGGUCUGCUCGGGCUUUAGGACGGUCUGCUUUCGCACAGGAUUCUGGGGAAUCCUUGGAGUUCUUGGCCUGCUCUUCUGCAAUCCUGUGCUCAAUGCCCAACAGGGAUUCGAGAGUGAACAGGCGCAAGCCAUCAGAACCCGCUGGUAGCAAGAGACAAUGGAAGGUAGUAAAGACUUCACUCAGAGACCAGGAACAACAACCAAUAUCCAGACGUCUCCCAGACAGUAGGACAGAUGAGCACCUUGGUUAAGAGAUUAAGGACUGCAGCCGUGUCUGCGUUACAGUUUAAAACCAAGCUGGUUUUUAAUGUGAAACCUGUGGAUAAAGUGCUUUCUGUCCUGUG